rnacentral:rRNA from 1 species
UACGGAGGGUGCUAGCGUUGUUCGGAAUCAUUGGGCGUAAAGGGCGCGUAGGCGGUCUGUCAAGUCAGGUGUGAAAGCCCUCAGCUUAACUGAGGAACUGCGCUUGAAACUGACAGACUUGAGUACGGGAGAGGGAAGCGGAAUUCCGAGUGUAGAGGUGAAAUUCGUAGAUAUUCGGAGGAACACCGGUGGCGAAGGCGGCUUCCUGGACCGAUACUGACGCUGAGGCGCGAAAGCGUGGGGAGCAAACAGG